rnacentral:rRNA from 1 species
CUACGGGCGGCUCCAGUGAGGAAUAUUGCACAAUGGGGGGAACCCUGAUGCAGCAACGCCGCGUGGAGGAUGACGCAUUUCGGUGUGUAAACUCCUUUUAUAUGUCAAGAAAAUGACGGUAGCAUAUGAAUAAGCACCGGCUAACUCCGUGCCAGCAGCCGCGGUAAUACGGAGGGUGCAAGCGUUACUCGGAAUCACUGGGCGUAAAGGACGCGUAGGCGGGUUGGUAAGUCAGGUGUGAAAUCCUACAGCUUAACUGUAGAACUGCACUUGAAACUACCGACCUAGAGUAUGGGAGGGGAAGAUGGAAUUAGUGGUGUAGGGGUAAAAUCCGUAGAUAUCACUAGGAAUACCUAAAGCGAAGGCGAUCUUCUGGAACAUUACUGACGCUAAGGCGUGAAAGCGUGGGGAGCAAACAGGAUUGGAUACCCGCGUAGUC